GAUCAAGCGCUGAAGGGCAUCUGGUGAAUGCCUUGGCACUGAGAGGCGAUGAAGGACGUAGCACGCUGCGAUAAGCCGUGGGGAGUUGCGAGCAGACUUUGAUCCACGGAUCUCCGAAUGGGGAAACCCGGCCCUAUAGGGUCAUCGCCGCCUGAAUCCAUAGGGCGGCGAGGCGAACCCGGCGAACUGAAACAUCUAAGUAGCCGGAGGAAAGGACAUCAACCGAGACUCCGCUAGUAGUGGCGAGCGAACGCGGACCAGGCCAGCGGCCUGGCGUUAAGAACCGGAACUGUCUGGAAAGGCAGGCCAGAGCGGGUGAUAGCCCCGUACGGGUAGAAAGACGCCGGGUCCUCGAGUAGGGCGGGACACGAGAAAUCCUGCUUGAACGUGGGGGGACCACCCUCCAAGCCUAAGUACUCCUCAGUGACCGAUAGUGAACAAGUACCGUGAGGGAAAGGUGAAAAGCACCCCGAUAAGGGGAGUGAAAUAGACCCUGAAACCGGAUGCCUACAAGCAGUGGGAGCCCCCCUGAGGGGUGACCGCGUACCUUUUGUAUAAUGGGUCAGCGAGUUAAUCUGUGCAGCAAGCUUAAGCCGUUAGGUGUAGGCGCAGCGAAAGCGAGUCUGAAUAGGGCGAACGAGUUGCAUGGAUUAGACCCGAAACCGGGUGAUCUAGCCAUGGGCAGGCUGAAGGUGCGGUAACACGCACUGGAGGGCCGAACCCACCGAUGUUGAAAAAUCGGGGGAUGACCUGUGGCUAGGGGUGAAAGGCCAAGCAAACCCGGAAAUAGCUGGUUCUCCGCGAAAUCUAUUUGGGUAGAGCGUCGCAUGAUUACCGUCGGGGGUAGAGCACUGGAUGGGCUAGGGGGGCGCGAGCCUUACCAAACCCAACCAAACUCCGAAUACCGGCGAGUACAGUGCGGCAGACAGACUGCGGGUGCUAAGGUCCGUAGUCGAGAGGGAAACAGCCCAGACCGCCAGCUAAGGUCCCCAAGUCACGGCUAAGUGGGAAAGGAUGUAGGACGGCCAAGACAACCAGGAGGUUGGCUUAGAAGCAGCCACCCUUUAAAGAAAGCGUAACAGCUCACUGGUCUAAACAAGCUGUCCCGCGCCGAAGAUGUAUCGGGGCUCAAGCCGUGCACCGAAGCUGCGGAGUUCCUCGGAACUGGUAGCGGAGCGUUCCGUAAGCCUGCGAAGGGCCGCCGCGAGGCGUCCUGGAGGUAUCGGAAGCGAGACUGCUGACAUGAGUAGCGACAAAGAGUGUGAGAAACACUCUCGCCGAAAGUCCAAGGGUUCCUGCGCAAGGCUAAUCCACGCAGGGUGAGCCGGCCCCUAAGGCGAGGGCGAAAGCCGUAGUCGAUGGGAACCAGGUUAAUAUUCCUGGGCCUGCCGGAGGUGACGAAUGCCGUAAGUCGUCUGUGCUUAUCGGAUUGUGCAGGCGGCGAAGGCGUUCCAGGAAACAGCCCCGGCGUACAGACCGUACCCUAAACCGACACAGGUGGACUGGUAGAGUAUACCAAGGCGCUUGAGAGAACGAUGCUGAAGGAACUCGGCAAUUUGCCUCCGUAACUUCGGGAUAAGGAGGCCUCUGUCUUGGGCAACCAGGGCAGAGGGGCACAGACCAGGG
rnacentral:rRNA from 1 species